UACGUAGGGUCCGAGCGUUUGUCCGGAAUUACUGGGCGUAAAGAGCUCGUAGGUGGUUUGUCGCGUUGUUCGUGAAAAACUCACAGCUCAACUGUGGGCGUGCGGGGCGAUACGGGGCAGACUAGAGUACUGCAGGGGAGACUGGAAUUCCUGGUGUAGCGGUGGAAUGCGCAGAUAUCAGGAGGAACACCGAUGGCGAAGGCAGGUCUCUGGGCAUUAACUGACGCUGAGGAGCGAAAGCAUGGGGGAGCGAACAGG
rnacentral:rRNA from 1 species